rnacentral:lncRNA from 1 species
UGAUAUAGAAUUUUUUCAUCAAAAUUGAAACAAUUCAUGGAAUUUGAAAAAAGGUUCAUCAAAAUUGAAAAUAAGUUCAUUAAUUUGAAAAAAAAUCAUCAAUUUGAAAAUAAGUUCAUUGAUUUGGAAAGAAGUUCAUCAAGUUUCAUGAAAACUCCAUCAAACUAAAAAAAGCAGCCAUUUAAAACAAAAAGUUCACAUAUUGCUAACAAUUAAAGGAACCAAGAUGAAAAGAAAGAAAAAACAGAAAAAAAAGGAAAACGAAAAACAAAAAAAGAAAAAGAAUAAUAGAAAAGGGAAAAGAAGUACUGUAAUAAUUAAGAGAACAAGUUCAUUUUUAACAGAUCCCGAGUGGGUGGCCUGAUGGUUGCACCAGGUAAUUUGGCAAGGUUGGUUGUCGGUUCGAAUCAUUUUAGCUAGUUAAUAAUAGAGAAAAGAAAGCCUAGAUGGGCCGGUCCAACUCACGUGCCCGCAGGCGCCGGUUUGCAUAAAAGCAAAGGAACCGGCGCCCUGUGACGUUAAAUAGGAAAAGCCUGGUGAUAGAUCAAGUCCUUCUCCGUAAAACGGUACUUGGGCCAUCCUAGUAGACCUGCAUCGCUCCCUAGAGAAAAGGGUGUGCUUCCAUUUGCUUCCCCAAAAAACGGUGGAUAUUUAUUCAAUCCCCAAAAUAGAGAACCGGUUAGAAACAUGUAACCCUUCCUUAAAAAACGAUA